CUCACUACGUAGCCCGUGAUGUCCCUGAACUCCUGAUCUUGCUGCCUCCCGAUUCCUGGGGUGACAGGCAGGCUGGGGAUACAGCUCCAUGGUAACGCCUGUGACCAGCAUGCAUGAGCGAGGCAGCUUGAAUGAGGAAGGACCUCACAGCCUCCCGUAUCUGAACGUUUGCUCUCCAGUUGGUGGCACUGUUUUGGGGAGAUUAUGGAGCCUCUAACGCAUGGUGGCUCAUCUCUUCAACCAGAGCGGGAGACGGGGAGGGGAGAAAGAUGCCGAGUUCAACCAUAAACAAACCAACAGUCACCCAAACCAACUAAACAACUCCCUCCUCCGCCUAAAUCCGGAACCAUACGGCAUUGAUAUUCUCAAGUCUCCCAGCAGGUGGCGCAAGAGGCUAAUUCACGGCCAAGCAUUCCCGAAGCUUCAGAACACUGGUGGGUUUACCUUUUGAAACAUUGCUCUUACGAACCACCCCACAAAGUCUGUGCAAUGACUUAUGUUGACAGCACAUUAAAAAUAUGCUGGGGGGGUCCCCUU